rnacentral:lncRNA from 1 species
CGGAGAUAAGCGCUAGUGCGGCGCCGGGCUCUGCCUGGGCUAGUGGCACCGACUUGGGAAAAGGAAACGCCAAGACAUAGAAAACCACGCUUUUCCCGUAGGAAGAACCGAUGAUGAGCCCUGAUGAAAGAAGGAAGAAGACCCGCUGUCUGCGAAGGCCUAAAGGUUAGAAAUACAGCAAUUUUUCUCAUGCCGAAGGAAAGGCAAAAUGGUCUAAGAAACUGCAAGAGUGUGAUACAAGUUUUCCUCAACAGCGAGCUGGGACUGGCGACAAUUUCUUAACUCACAGCCUCCGCAGUCGCCUUAGUCGACAAAGAGAGCAGCCCACGCAGCGGCCGCCGCGCCCGUGCCCGUGGCCUUUACUUGCUUUUGCCCUGAAGUUCAGUGUAGUGGUUUGUUUGGGGCUUGCAGGAAGAAACAAACACACUCCCUCUGACUCUCCACAACCCAUCUUUGCCUUCUGCAACCGCUUCUCCUGCCCAUCGCUGGUUUUGGGGUAGGCUCUUUGUCUGCCUGAGGCCCCGCACUCGCAGGGCAAGAAGCUUAAAGGAAUCCAACUCCAAACUCCUCCGAAGUUAAAUAUUGACCAGAACCUCUUUCAACAGGCCGCGGUUGCCAGGAACCGUGGAGGGCCAACUCCUCCCAACCGCCCUGGUGCAAAGUCCCACGCGGCGAAGAGUUUUGGAGCAGCGCUUACCUAGAAAGAUGUUUAAAUUCUGAACCAGGAAUUGUCUCCAACUCCAGGCGCUCAGGGAAUCGCCUUUUCCGGUGUCCAGGCGCUCUGCAGACAAAUAAACAGCAGAAGCAAAUGGUCACCGAGCCGGCAGUCAGCUUUCUGGGAGUGGGAGAUGAUGGGGAAAGAGGAAAGAAUCGUCCGCUCGCCGGACCCUGGCUUGGAGAAGUUCUGCGCUCCGCUGGGACUCUGCGGGCCCUUUGCGUCUACAGACCUAUCCCUGCCCCGACUACCCCUUCACUCAGACCCAGCCUUCCCCAGCGUGAAUCAGAACAUUACCAACUGUCUGCGCAUCCGUCCCACUUCAUCACCAAAGCCAGGAUGUGACCGCAGAAAACCCAAGCCCGAACUCACGUUUCCCCGGACGCGGCGCGCUCCCUGGACUCGCAGAAACCCUGCGGAAAAGGCCCCAAGAUCUGGUGAGGGCCUGCCAGCUCCGUCCUCCCUGCCGAGGGCUCUCUCCUGCCUUCCUGAAGGAGUUAAAAGCCUUUGGAGAUAAAUCUGAGGGUGUGUGUUUUUAAAAAUCAAAUGGGAAGGACACGUUUCUAUGCCUUACAGAGACUUGAAGCCUGAAAGCCUGGCCAAGUUUGGGAAGAAGAGGAGCCCUCUCAGAGCUCAAGAGCCUUCCUACUCUUUGGAACUUUUCCACAGUAGGCCAAGCUUGACAAGAGUUCAGCUCAAGUUGAACAUACAUACACACACUCUCACACACAAAUUAUGUGAGCCGUCAGAAUCCAAGUGAAUCCAGCUCAAGCUAUCUACAAGGUUUUUACAUGCAAGGUCAAGUAUCUCAAUCCAGAGGACUUUUGUUUUCUUAAUGAAAAGCUUAGAAAACACAUGAAUCUUAGAUUUUUAAUGUUUUUUAAAUGGAGUUUAUUCUUAGCACAUGGCUUUCUAUGUAGCCACAUCAC